CGUUUUUCCUGUGAGGGACGCGCCACCUGUCGGUGCUGUCGAAGAACUGCACUUGUGUGAUGCUCUCUGGUUGGCGAGGCUGUGGGAGAGGUUUGUGUUUGAAGUCCGGGCAGGAGUGGGAGCGAUCCGGCCACUUUCCUGACAGCCGACGCCUGACCCGGGAGAGAGAACGGGGUUUCGGGAGGGGAAUCCUUCUUGGGAUCCCCUCGCCUCGUGAGAGCCAAAGCAGGAGAGCAAAACCCAUGGAGGACUGUUUGCACUAUGAUUCAGAAAGCAGAAAAUACCUGAGACACACACUGGGGUGGGCGCUGCAGUGGGGGUCGGCGACUGGGUUCCUUCGCCUCCUCUGCCUGCUCCGUGCUGUGUGACCUCGGGCGAGCCCCUCGUUCUCUCUGGGCCUGUUUCCUUACGUGUAAACUGAGGUUAUUGGAUUCGAUUGAUCCCCUGUCAACUCUGACCUUGAAUCUAACAUUGAAUCUGGGCAGUAUAUGUAGACACCUGGGUAUUGUCUUCUAUUUCUAGCACUUAAUAGAUCCUGGACCUUUAUAUGCAUUUACAUCCUUAUCUUUUAAACAUAUUUAAGGUAUGGCUGCUUCAAUUGUAUCACUGUUUUAAUUGUCUGAGGACUUCAUUUAAGCGGUGUCAGGAUGUUUCUUGGCCCGAAUUAUCCUGAUAAGUGCCCAUUUGCUUAAACUUUUUUUUUUUUUUUUUUUUUAAGAAUCAGACAACCUAGAAAACUUCAUUCACUUUGCAGUGUAGACGCCGCUGGGGAGGACCCGUGUCAUGGGGCCAGAAAGAACUUAAUGGAUGCUCAUGUGGGAAGGCUUAGAGGAGAAGACCCAGGCCCCGGACUGCGGUCAGUGUCAGAGAGAGGAUCCGCAAGAAGGACCGAGGCUGGAGAGGACUAGAGAGAAGACUGCUGCUGGGUACACUCUGAGCUCCCCCUGCAGGGGUGGCCCCUGACCAGAGGCCCCUGAUAGACGCUGUCUUGAAAGCAGAAAAGGCAAGGUGUUGAGAGGCCAGUGUAGGAUAGCUCAGACCUCAAGCCACUUUCCCUUGAACUCCCCAUGAAAUUAAUGAAGCAUGGAAAGCGGGAGAAAUGGGCAAUAUUUUGCUCGAGUAACGCGGGGAUCGCGGAUAACUUCUGCUGGAGUUGGGCGUUUGCGCAUCUGGAGGAGAGAGACUCCGCGCUGUGGUGUCUUUCGCAAGGCCUGGCGCUUGAGCUUGGACUGCCCCGGCGCAAGUGAGGCGUGCGGGUUAGGGAGCCCCCAAAGGUCCGCGCCCAACAGAGCAGCAGGCAGGGCCCGCUGCUCUCGUCUUCAGCUCCUGAGCGGCCGCUCACGGCCGGCCGGAUGGGCUGCCUCUUCCCGAAGCUGGGGGGAGGCCGUCCAUCUCCUCCCCUGGGAAUCGAGACUCCCCUUGGGACACCCAAAGUGGCUGCCACUUUGAACCCGGGACAGUUUGCUUUUGGAAUGGAGGGCACAUUUCUGGUCUUUCCGUCUGCGAGUCGGGGAAUCGUUCUGGGACCCACCGACUCCUUGUAGCUGGUGAAUUUCACCCUGUUGACAACCGGCACCGGCGUGGAUUCAGGGCCAGGGGUUAGUGUUCCUAUUUAGAGACAGGAAAAUCAAGGGUUGGGAGGUCUGGUCGCUAGUCCUUGUGAGCGGCAGUCUGAAGGUGAACAGAGGCCUGAGGGGUCGCUCGGUGGCCUAGCCCUGCUGUCCUGGCGGUCUGUGCGGCUCGGUGUUUUUCAGCUGCACGCGCAAGGGGCUGGCGGGGAUUUGGCGGUCCCGAUUGUCUGCGCCACGGGUCUCAGACCUCUUGUGACACCUGCCAUUUCCCAGCUCCUCAGGCCUGACCCGUGGAAUUCCGAACUCUGCGCUUUCUGGCCUCUGUGUCGUGGCCCUGGAGUCAGCUGUCAUCCGUCUGAGCCAGGUCGGCCUGGGAAAUGGGGAGCUCCAGGCCUCAGCCUAGCGUGGCCGCACGUGACCCCGGGGCUGGAGCUGCGGGCUGACUGGGGUGGCCGCGUGGACACUACCCUCCGGCGGGACCGAGGAGCAGCUGCUGGGAGUCUGUGUCCAUCCCGCUGCUCCUGGACAUUCCCAGGCGGCACGGAACUCAGAUUUCGGGGAUUAAGAUCAAGCCCCCGGAGGCGAGUGCGCCGCGGAGAGCAGACGGAGACUGGGAUUCUUCCAGAGCCGCCAAAAAGUCCGCGCGCUGGACAGAGAACUCAGCUCCAACUUGGGCGGCUCAGAUCAACCCCAGUGGUGGGACUGACAUAGGAAAACGAACGGAUUUAUUUUAAAUAUUUCUCACAUUUCACUCAGAUGUUGCCGGUCUACAGAGCGAGAUAGGAAUAGAGAGAAGGAAAGAGAUAAGGAGAGGGAGGCUGGAGGAGAGAGACAGCGGGAGGGAGGAAGGGAGAGAGAAAGUCAGUGAUGAGGGUCCCUUUCCUCCAAAAGCCAAGGCAAGGAUGAUAAGGAGUAGACAACCAGUGUACAGGAGGGCUUGCUCUGGGCACGGCUCUGAGCUCUCCAUCUUUACAGUUAUCUAUUCAGGUAGUAAUAUCAUCCUCUCCAGUUUAUAAAGGAGGAAACUGAGGUACGGAGAGUCGUAAACUAGCCCAAAGGCAUACCUCCAGCAAGUGGGAAAUGAAGACUGCAACCUAUGCCCAGCUCUGGAGGAGCCAGAUGGGGACCGGUUUGCUCAAAGGACUAUCGAAGUCCCCCUGCAGGCCCCAGGAGGAUGGGGUUAUAAUUUCCCCGCACAGGGGCGAGGCCUCCGCUCUCCCAGGUGCUCAAGGGGGCCUCGAUCCCUCCAGCGGCCGGCGUUUGCCUGCCGGGGUCCGUCCGGGGUGCCCUUCGCCCGCGCGCCGUCCAGGCCCGGCCGGGGCAGGGCGAGCGCCGCGUCGGGCAGGUCUCCCGUCCUCGGCCGGAGACGACCUUGCCUUUCCUUCCCCCGGACGAGCCAGCCCAGCCGGAGAGCAGCGCGGAGGCCGCAGCGUCUCCUUUCUGGUCUUGUCCGUGUUCUUCCCUCGCGCUGCCGAGCCCAGUGACCCCGGAGAGGGCCGAGCGCAUCGGGCGGGCGGCGCGGGCAGAGACGCUGGUCCGGGCAGGCCCGCUGGCCCGCGAUCCCCGGAUGCGGCAUCCCAGCCCGGCGUCCACGCUCAGUGGCUGGUCUCAGCGACUGCGAGGGUGCUCAUCAAGGUCUAGACUUUUCCAGACUUGCUUCUGGGUAGCAGGCGAGGACCCCGACUGGGACGCGCAGGGAGCUCGGGUCCCAUGGAGACGAGAAGUCUCCGGCCUUCCCCAGACCCGUGCCUUAACUGGCCUGGCGCAGACGAAGAGGGUCUCGGGGGAGGUUGAGGCCCGUGGCAAAAUCUCGAGGACCCAGCGUCUCUCAGCCGCGCUGAGGCGGUCGCCCCUGGGAAUGGCUCCACUCCCAGGCCCCGGCAGUCCGUCGGGGGUCAGGGUCACCACGGUCGCGUGCAGCACCUGGACGAGGAUGGAAGCGGGGAUGGGGAGGAAAGGACGCGCAUCCUGCGGGACGGAAGGAAGGCACCUAGGACCAGCAUUGCCAGGAGGCUUAAGACCCCCAUCCCUCCCUUGACCCCAGGCAACCCUCAGGCCAACGGGAAAGACCUCGGCCCCGAGCCUGCGCCUGGUGCCACGCAGAAGGCGUUUCCUGUUGGUUCGACUGCACUUGGGCCGGGUGAGAGGACUUCCCGGGCAGAGAGAAAGGGGCAGCCUCGGCUUACUUCAGGAAAGCGCAGGUGUUUGGACCUUGAGCCAAAAUACAUCAAAGAAGAGAUCCCCUCCCACCCCCAGCUUACAGUCUCUCAGCUAUCAAGUGUGGACUCGACAGGAAUGUUGCAAGGAAAAACUAAUUAAACGGCAGUACAAUGCUUUGAAAAUAUUAAGUGUCAUGUAAAUGCCUAAUGCUAAUAAUAAUCUUGAUGGUGGUAAUUAUGUGCCAGGAAGCACAUCCCAGACAGCCCAGCGCUGAGCCCAAAAGUGCGUGUCUAGGAGGAUCCGAGGGAACGCCCAUCCUUUCUGCUGCCGAGCCUCAGCUCUGAAUGGCCAGGUGUCAGGUGGGAGCUCAGGGUCAUGCCCUCACCACCUGGGAGGCAGACCAGAUUUAAUCCUGGUUGCAAGUCCUUAAGUUACCGCCCUCUCUGACACUCUGAGCCCCAUCACCUCGAGUAAAGUGGGAUAUUCGUGACUCCCAGGGUGUGGCCACCCCACACGUUGGAUUCUGCUUCCUCAGAGGCUCUGACAGGCUCCAGGGUGCGUUCACGUCAAGGUCUGAGCUUUGAGAGCUGAGUGCCUUCUGUGUUCCAGAGCUUGGUUACGACAUGGCCUCUAGGUGGGUUACCCUUCACGUUUAAAGAGAAGGUAAUCUCUUAGGGGACACACAUCCCUCAGUCUCCUUUUUCUGUCAACUCUUGAUGGGAGGAGUGAGGGGUUCUCGGAUCUUCCCUGAACAUUCUUCUAGUGUGGUGAAGCACCAGGCCGGCCCCGGGACUUAGAGUGGCCUUAUAAGGCAAUUUCGCCACCACCGUCCCUCACCCAUCCUUUCUGACCACGCUCCCCCCCGCCGCUGGCUUGGAGAUUUGGGGCACAGACAUCUGCCAAACCAGGAAGGCUUUGAGGGCGGCAAAUUACCCUGACUCACGACGGACGCUUUUGGGAAUUUCCACCCCAGAAAUUGCUGGGUCUUUCAGGGGUUUUGUCAUUCACCUCAAUACUUUAACGACACUCUUCAUUGUUGAACUUGCCCUCCUUUCAUUUCUGAGUGACUUAGAGAAUAGUUACCAGUUCUCCUCCAGCUGCCUUUUCUUGUCUUCCCCAAUUUGGUUCAGGUUCAGGUUUUUCUGCUGUGGGAUGACAGGCCCUUUCCCAUCCGGAAGGCGUAUAGCUGACUUUUUAAAAUUAUUAUUCAGAAGAAGCAAAUUCUUGUCUAAGGUUUAAAAAAAAUGCUUUGCUUUAUUUGCGUUAGGCUUCAAUGACUCAAAAAAUCUUACCUUUAAAAGUGAAACUUUUUACGUAUCCUACAGAAACAGGUGGCUUCCUAGGUAAUUCUUCGUUUAGAAAGACGCUCAAAUAGGAUGCUCUCAGCAGCAGUAGUGUUAAAGUUUGGGUUUAGGCCACGUGGGCUUUCCUGGUCAAACUUUGAGGGGUUCAUAAGAUCAGACAUUGACAACACACACACGCACACACACGUGCACACACAAAUGCACAGUUAAAAGGAACUCUGGAGUUUUCCCAUUUCACUCUUUCUUGUCCCAAUAUAGGCUUUGCCUUUUUUUUCUUCUUUAUGAUGAGAAGCCUGGGUGUCACUGUGCCCAGCCGCCUCAUCUAUUUCUAGUUGGGAGAUGGAAAAGUGUGUGACCUGUGCAAGCUCACACCAGCAGUUAGUGGCAGGCAGAGACUGACGUCCAGGCCAAUGCCCUUUCUGCCACAUCGUCCACCUGCCGCUUCUCUGGCAAGGAGGAAAAUCCACACAGAAGACCCCUCGCAAUUCCCACCUGUGACCUCAGGAGUCAAUAAAUCCUGCAAUUUAAAAAUAGGAUUCUCCCACUGACACCCCCAACCUCACAGGCCGCCUCGAAGGCAUGCAGGCAGUUUCCCAGGCCAGGUGGCACAGUUACACAUCCAGGACAGGGGGCCCUUGAACCAUAAUGUCACCCCUGCCCCGGCCUUAUUUUCUGCCUUGAGGCUGCACCCCAAGAAUCACCUCAAGUGAAUGGGAGCGGUGGUCUGGAAGCCUGUGGGGAAUUUGUAUGAGUACAUUGUUUGGUAACAUUUUAACAAAUUUGUUUCACUCAGCUCCACUGAGACUCUUGCUGGCAUCAUAAAUGACUUUGUUCCCAAAUCAGAUAAGGCUCUGGGGAGAUAUACUUUGUAUUGCAGAUAAGUUUUUAACAACAGCUGCUGCGCCGACCUUUUUGUUUUCAGGAAGACAUUGUUCACCAGAAAACAUUGCUCCUCCAGGAAUUUUAUAGGGAAUUAAAACAGAAAUGUUUUGGCAUUUUGGUUCCCUUUGGUUGGUGGUAGGGGAGCAUGGGGUGGAGUCAGGUUCGGGAUUACAGGGAGAGAAGGGAGGAGAGGACAGGCUGGGAAGAACAGAGCAUCCUAGUGUGAGAAGCCGGCUCAAGCUCUUGGACUCUGCCCUGAGCAUGGGGGCCCGGCCGGCCUUACUGAGUGCUUCGCAUCACCUUGCACUCUGGGCUCCCAUUCUUCCUUUGGCAUCUGUAAUUCUGCUCUGGCUGCUGUGUUUGCUUUGGGCUGUGGGUACCCACGCACUGUGUUUAAUAAUUUUGGUGAACUUGUUCAAAAACCUUCUGAUCUGAGCAUGCUGUUCGGGAAAUGGGGCUUCUGUUCCAAUGUGGCAAGACCACGUCCUCCUCCACGGGCUGUCAACACAAUGCCAGACUCUGAAAAACAGUCUCUCCAGAAAUUCAGAUGUUUCCACACUGUAAGCUGUUUGGCACUAGGAGCCGCAGUGUCCAGCCUUCCUCCAGAUAAUAGCAUGUUAUUCAGCCCCACAAUGGCUUGGGGAAAUUGAGUUCACCUUCCCCUCCCCACAGGAGUCCUUAGAGCAGAGUGGGUCAAAGGCCUGGAGAAACCACCAAACCGAAGUCCUCCCAAAGCCUGGGGGGUGCGGGUAGGAGGUGGGGGAGGAGGAAACGUGGAGACAUUCCCAUUUCUGACCAGUGGAAACUGCCCCAGCACAUGCGGAUGAGAGGACUCGGCCCUGUGUGGAUGGGCUGAGCCGGUCUAGGGUGGAAGGAAUGCGUGCACUAGUGCUCAGAGAGGCAGGGGGCUGGCCUUGCUCCAGCACAUC